CGGUACGUACUGGUAUUGUUGGUUUCUCCCUUCUGACGAACCAUGAUGUCAUUUAUUUGGUGUUGUGGGGAAUCAGGACUGUUACUUUGAAAAAAUUAGAGUGUUUAAAGCAGGCUCACGCUUGAAUACAUUAGCAUGGAAUAAUGAAAUAGGACGUUUGAUUCUAUUUUGUUGGUUUCUAGGAUCGACGUAAUGAUUAAUAGGGAUAGUUGGGGGCAUUAGUAUUCAAUCGUCAGAGGUGAAAUUCUUGGAUUUAUUGAAGACUAACUACUGCGAAAGCAUUUGCCAAGGAUGUUUUCAUUAAUCAAGAACGAAAGUUAGGGGAUCGAAGACGAUCAGAUACCGUCGUAGUCUUAACCAUAAACUAUGCCGACUAGGGAUCGGAUGAUGUUAAUUUUUUAAUGACUCAUUCGGCGCCUUACG
rnacentral:rRNA from 1 species